UUUGCAGGAAAGAAGAACGCGUGGUGAGCCCAUCAACACACAAGUUGCAUGUUACUGUAAGUGGAAGCAGCUUUUUCAGUGAAGUAGGAUGUGUGACGAAUUACUACCAAAAUGAAAGAUGCCUGUUGGACUAUCUCCAGAUGACAGGAACUCUCCUCAUCGAUCCAUGUGAAGGAACUCAUUUGAGUUCACACUCCAAAGGGGAAAAGUGCCCUUAUGUCAGAGGAGGAACUUGGGAUAAUUACCAUUGGAGUUGCUCUUGCAGCAGUAUAUCUACAUGCAAGAAGCAUGCCUACUCCGAGAUAGAACGCGCGAAGCAACAAAAGUUGGCUUUAUAAAUCCUCCACUCGAGCUU